rnacentral:rRNA from 1 species
ACAUGUGGAGCGCUUAGAAGUGAGAAUGCCGGUGUGAGUAGCGAAAGACGGGUGAGAAUCCCGUCCACCGAUUGACUAAGGUUUCCAGAGGAAGGCUCGUCCGCUCUGGGUUAGUCGGGUCCUAAGCUGAGGCCGACAGGCGUAGGCGAUGGAUAACAGGUUGAUAUUCCUGUACCACCUAUAAUCGUUUUAAUCGAUGGGGGGACGCAGUAGGAUAGGCGAAGCGUGCGAUUGGAUUGCACGUCUAAGCAGUAAGGCUGAGUAUUAGGCAAAUCCGGUACUCGUUAAGGCUGAGCUGUGAUGGGGAGAAGACAUUGUGUCUUCGAGUCGUUGAUUUCACACUGCCGAGAAAAGCCUCUAGAUAGAAAAUAGGUGCCCGUACCGCAAACCGACACAGGUAGUCAAGAUGAGAAUUCUAAGGUGAGCGAGCGAACUCUCGUUAAGGAACUCGGCAAAAUGACCCCGUAACUUCGGGAGAAGGGGUGCUCUUUAGGGUUAACGCCCAGAAGAGCCGCAGUGAAUAGGCCCAAGCGACUGUUUAUCAAAAACACAGGUCUCUGCUAAACCGUAAGGUGAUGUAUAGGGGCUGACGCCUGCCCGGUGCUGGAAGGUUAAGAGGAGUGGUUAGCUUCUGCGAAGCUACGAAUCGAAGCCCCAGUAAACGGCGGCCGUAACUAUAACGGUCCUAAGGUAGCGAAAUUCCUUGUCGGGUAAGUUCCGACCCGCACGAAAGGCGUAACGAUUUGGGCACUGUCUCAACGAGAGACUCGGUGAAAUCAUAGUACCUGUGAAGAUGCAGGUUACCCGCGACAGGACGGAAAGACCCCGUGGAGCUUUACUGUAGCCUGAUAUUGAAAUUCGGCACAGCUUGUACAGGAUAGGUAGGAGCCUUUGAAACGUGAGCGCUAGCUUACGUGGAGGCGCUGGUGGGAUACUACCCUAGCUGUGUUGGCUUUCUAACCCGCACCACUUAUCGUGGUGGGAGACAGUGUCAGGCGGGCAGUUUGACUGGGGCGGUCGCCUCCUAAAAGGUAACGGAGGCGCUCAAAGGUUCCCUCAGAAUGGUUGGAAAUCAUUCAUAGAGUGUAAAGGCAUAAGGGAGCUUGACUGCGAGACCUACAAGUCGAGCAGGGUCGAAAGACGGACUUAGUGAUCCGGUGGUUCCGCAUGGAAGGGCCAUCGCUCAACGGAUAAAAGCUACCCCGGGGAUAACAGGCUUAUCUCCCCCAAGAGUUCACAUCGACGGGGAGGUUUGGCACCUCGAUGUCGGCUCAUCGCAUCCUGGGGCUGUAGUCGGUCCCAAGGGUUGGGCUGUUCGCCCAUUAAAGCGGUACGCGAGCUGGGUUCAGAACGUCGUGAGACAGUUCGGUCCCUAUCCGUCGUGGGCGUAGGAAAUUUGAGAGGAGCUGUCCUUAGUACGAGAGGACCGGGAUGGACAUACCUCUGGUGUACCAGUUGUCGUGCCAACGGCAUAGCUGGGUAGCUAUGUGUGGACGGGAUAAGUGCUGAAAGCAUCUAAGCAUGAAGCCCCCCUCAAGAUGAGAUUUCCC